rnacentral:rRNA from 1 species
AACGAACGCUGGCGGCGUGGAUAAGACAUGCAAGUCGAACGGGAACUUCAGCUGUAGCAAUACAGUUGAAGUUUUAGUGGCGAACGGGUGCGUAACACGUGGGCAAUCUGCCGAGAAGUGGGGGAUAGCUCGCCGAAAGGACGAAUUAAUACCGCAUAUGAUCAGCUAAGACAUCUUAGCGACAUCAAAGACCGGGGCGAACCUGGCGCUUUUUGUAGGAGCCCGCCGGCCUAUCAGCUAGUUGGUGAGGUAACGGCUCACCAAGGC